AGCAAGGUCAGCUAAAAAAGCUAUCGGGCCCAUACCCCGAAAAAGAGGGUUUCACCCCUCCCGCUGCUA
rnacentral:tRNA from 1 species